CCUACGGGAGGCAGCAGUAAGGAAUAUUGGUCAAUGGACGAAAGUCUGAACCAGCCAUGCCGCGUGCAGGAUGACUGCCCUAUGGGUUGUAAACUGCUUUUAUAUAGGAAGAAAAACUUUCUCGUGAGAAAGCUUGACGGUACUAUAAGAAUAAGGAUCGGCUAACUCCGUGCCAGCAGCCGCGGUAAUACGGAGGAUCCAAGCGUUAUCCGGAAUCAUUGGGUUUAAAGGGUCCGUAGGUGGACAAAUAAGUCAGAGGUGAAAUCCUGCAGCUUAACUGUAGAACUGCCUUUGAUACUGUUUGUCUUGAGUUAUUAUGAAGUGGUUAGAAUGUGUAGUGUAGCGGUGAAAUGCAUAGAUAUUACACAGAAUACCGAUUGCGAAGGCAGAUCACUAAUAAUCAACUGACACUGAUGGACGAAAGCGUGGGUAGCGAACAGGAUUAGAUACCCUGGUAGUCCACGCCGUAAACGAUGGUCACUAGCUGUUUGGACUUCGGUCUGAGUGGCUAAGCGAAAGUGAUAAGUGACCCACCUGGGGAGUACGUUCGCAAGAAUGAAACUCAAAGGAAUUGACGG
rnacentral:rRNA from 1 species